rnacentral:rRNA from 1 species
AGCGAACGCUGGCGGCAGGCCUAACACAUGCCAGUCGAACGAACUCUUCGGAGUUAGUGGCGGACGGGUGAGUAACACGUGGGAACGUGCCUUUUGGUUCGGAAUAACUCAGGGAAACUUGUGCUAAUACCGAAUGUGCCCUUCGGGGGAAAGAUUUAUCGCCAUUAGAGCGGCCCGCGUCUGAUUAGCUAGUUGGUGAGGUAACGGCUCACCAAGGCGACGAUCAGUAGCUGGUCUGAGAGGAUGACCAGCCACACUGGGACUGAGACACGGCCCAGACUCCUACGGGAGGCAGCAGUGGGGAAUAUUGCGCAAUGGGCGAAAGCCUGACGCAGCCAUGCCGCGUGAAUGAUGAAGGUCUUAGGAUUGUAAAAUUCUUUCACCGGGGACGAUAAUGACGGUACCCGGAGAAGAAGCCCCGGCUAACUUCGUG